rnacentral:lncRNA from 1 species
AAAAAAAAAAGAAAUCAUAGCUUCAUUCAUCUAAAACUAGAGUGGGGACUUUUUGGUCAUAUCACAAUCAAUGACAUAAUAAAAGCGUCGGAGGAUGGAUGUGACGGAGUCGGCGGUGGCGGAGAUAUUGAAAUUGACGAGAGACAGAGCCAAAGCUCCGAACCACGCCAUGUCUCUAGUCCCCGGCGGAAUCGCUGUUCCCCUUUUUUGUUAAGACUAGGAAAGCUCAGAGUCAGAGGCAUGUCCAGAGUUUGAUCGUCGUAUCCUUGGGCUUAUCAAUAUCAGCUGACUCUCAGAGUUUGCUCUCAUGCUUUGCCCACCACAAGGGCUUAGUGGCGGAUGCCUUGAUCGUCCUCUCGGAGUUGUCCCUGAACAGAAUCCAAAGGCUAGAAGCUCUUUUCAGAAGAUUUGAAACCUGCUUCUUGCUCAUACCAACAUCAUUUGAGGAGCAUGACAAUCUUCUUUCCUUGGCAUAUGACAACUGCUCAUCUGAUCCUGCCCCACCCUCAUCCUCGCUACACGAAGCCCAUUCACUUCCUGAUUCCGAUGGUUCCCGGAGAUUAUCCUUUUCACACGUUUUUGCCCGUUCCACAACCCUAUAUGCAAACAUUUGAAAAGGAACCUGUGAAACUUUGGUUAGCUCUGUAGAUUCCCAAGAAAGCUUCUGCAAUAGCUUUGUCUCGAUCUCGCAGUAAUCCACAGUAGGCGCAAUGGACGGGUCUUGUUGGCUACUACUGUAACAUUCCGGGUUCAAAGCUAGAAACCGUUUGAUAUACCGGAGAAUUCUGCUUAUCGAUGAGAAAGUUGGACGCUGAUUGGGAUCAGCAUGCCAGCAUCGUUUUGUCAGGUGGCUAUCUUCAAAUGGUACUUUACCUGUCAGAAGCUCAAAGCUAACCAUCCCAAAGCUAUACACGUCAGAUUUAUCACUAUACUUAAGGCUUCCUGCAGUUCCACUCUGUUCUUGCUCCUCUAGAACUUCUGGAGAAUACCAUAUGAAUGGAAAAUUCUCAUUCUGACUCGUCAAAGAAGCACUUUUACUAGAGAAUCCCUUGACAGAAUUCAACCCGAACCCAAAAAUCUUCCCAAGCAGAUACCCAUCUCCGGAUUGGUUACUUCUUGGUUUGACAAGAAUGUUUGAUGGAUUCAACUCUCCGUGGUAUAUUCUCUUCGAGUGAAGAUAUUCCAUACCCAAAGCUAUCUGAAGCAUCAGAUCAACCGCGACCGGGAGGGAGAGAGUGUUCUUCUUCCUAGGACCACAUACCUCUUUGAUGUGCAUUCCAAGGGUUUUCCUCAUCAGUUCCAUGACCAAGAAACACUCUUUCUUCUCCUCAUCCGUGAAUCCGCAGAGGUAAUAUACAAUGUUUGGGUGUGAAAGAGAUAGCAAUGGAGUAAUCUGAGGAAGCAAAGCAUCAAUAUCCCCAAAGAAAUGCCUAAGCGCAAAGCUCUCGCCUAACCAGAAGAGAAGAAGGAAAUAGCUUGGGGCUCUCAUUUCCAUCUCCCAAAUGCUUCAAAAGGAAAUCAGCCAUCUUCCGUUCAUGUUUGCUCGAACCGGACUGCUUUUUCUCCUGAAGCUCCUUGAUCAGAAUCCAACGGUCCUCUGUCCAAGCACUCUCGAACCGGUUGCAGAAAUCCUCGGUCACCAAAUACUCUCUCCCAAACUUCCAGAUUGGAUCGCAUCGACACAGAAAUUGACUCGUAGGCUGCGGUGAAGAGGUCGAGUAAUAGAGAGCAUUGACGCUGGUUGAUUUGAAUGCUGUCCUUGAACACCAUUAACGCUCUUAUGCUUCCUAAUACCUCUCCUAUCUCUCGAAAUUGAUCCAUUUCACACCUCUUCAAUUGUACACAAGGCCUUCGGAAUUUGUAUUAUAAAUUAUUGUACUCAUAAGAAAUCGUAUCACAGGAAUGGAUUUGUGAAAGAAAUUCUCUACUUGAGAUGUACGGACACAUCAUACGGAUAAUAAGUUAUAUUUGGCAAUUGUAGCCUUUGUUU